GACGAACGCUGGCGGCGUGCUUAACACAUGCAAGUCGAACGGAAAGGCCCUGCUUUUGUGGGGUGCUCGAGUGGCGAACGGGUGAGUAACACGUGAGUAACCUGCCCUUGACUUUGGGAUAACUUCAGGAAACUGGGGCUAAUACCGGAUAGGAGCUCCUGCUGCAUGGUGGGGGUUGGAAAGUUUCGGCGGUUGGGGAUGGACUCGCGGCUUAUCAGCUUGUUGGUGGGGUAGUGGCUUACCAAGGCUUUGACGGGUAGCCGGCCUGAGAGGGUGACCGGCCACAUUGGGACUGAGAUACGGCCCAGACUCCUACGGGAGGCAGAAGUGGGGAAUAUUGCACAAUGGGCGGAAGCCUGAUGCAGCAACGCCGCGUGCGGGAUGACGGCCUUCGGGUUGUAAACCGCUUUGGCCUGUGACGAAGAGUGAGUGACGGUAAUGGGUAAAGAAGCACCGGCUAACUACGUG
rnacentral:rRNA from 1 species